UAAAAAAAAAGAAAAUAUGAUAAUAUUAGUAGAUAAUUUUCUUAUGGAAAAUAUUUAAGUUUUCCUAUAUUUUACUUAGAAAUGUAUAUAAUAAAAGAACUCGGCAAAAACGAUUUCCGAAUGUUUAACAAAAACAUUUCCUCUUAGAAUAGGAGGUAAAGCCUGCUCACUGAAAAUUAAAGAGCCGCAGUAUUUUGACUGUGCUAAGGUAGCAUAAUCAUUAGUCUUUUAAUUGGAGACUGGUAUGAAUGGCUAAACGAGAAAUCUUCUUUUUUUUAUUAUAAAUAUCGAAUUUAUUUUUUUAGUGAAAAAACUAAAAUAUUCCUGAAAGACGAGAAGACCCUAUAGAGUUUUAUAUAGUAAACUAUCAUAUUGUAUUAGAUCUGAUUCGAUUUGAUUUUAUUCUGUAAUUUGUUGGGGCGACAUUAAGAUAAAAAAAACUCUUUUUUAUAAAAACUUUGAUAAAUGAAUAACUUGAUCCUUUAAAAAAGAUAAUAAGAUAAAAUUACCUUAGGGAUAACAGCGU
rnacentral:rRNA from 1 species